UAACCAGCUGUCGGCAGCAAGCAAAGGCAUAUCUAUUUGUUGGAUUACCUCCCGCCUCGAUGGAGAGCACCAGGGAGACUGGCGGGUUAGAGAAGAACGUCCGUGCGCACCCACCUGAGCCCACUCCACUCCGUGAAUAGGUGAUCUGGCCCGUCCCUUUCACAUUUUCAGGCCACACCUUCUGAAGUCGCUAGAGACAGAAAAAAUCAGACGGAGCCAGAGAGAUCUCAAAGAUGCUUCCUCAUCACCAGCAAGCAAGAGUCCCAGACAAAAAGAUCUCCGUGUUUGUCUGUCCUCUCUACCAUAUUCUUCCAGGGGAGGGAGGGGAGGCUUCAUGCUGCAUCAAUAAGCACUUACUUGUAAUGAUGGAGGGAAGGGACCAGGUUCUCGGUUCCACCCAUCCUGGGUUGCUGAGGAAGCGCCAAUUAGUAGGCCUUCUGCUUAUGCUCCCCCUAAGUGACAUUCAUAAUGAUGGUCUGCAGGUCACAUAAGACCCUUCAUAAUCACCAAAGAAAGAGUACAUGCAUUCAGGUCGAUUUUUAUAUUAAAUAUAAAUAAAAAUAUGAAUACAGACAUGUAAGUUUGAUUGACUGCACCUGAUCACUUUCCAACUG